GGGCCCGCACAAGCGGUGGAGCAUGUGGUUUAAUUCGAUGAUACGCGAGGAACCUUACCAGGGCUUAAAUGCAGAGCGACAGAGGUGGAAACACCUCCUUCUUCGGACGGUCUGCAAGGUGCUGCAUGGUUGUCGUCAGCUCGUGCUGUGAAGUGUCGGGUUAAGUCCCAUAACGAGCGCAACCCCUAUUUCUAGUUGCCAGCGGUUCGGCCGGGGACUCUAGAGAAACUGCCAGCGUAAGCUGUGAGGAAGGUGGGGAUGACGUCAAAUCAUCACGGCCCUUACGUCCUGGGCCACACACGUGCUACAAUGGUAAGGACAGAGAGUUGCCAACCCGCGAGGGUGAGCUAAUCUUCAAACUCCAUCUCAGUUCGGAUCGAAGUCUGCAACUCGACUUCGUG
rnacentral:rRNA from 1 species